AUUGAACGCUGGCGGAAUGCUUUACACAUGCAAGUCGAACGGCAGCACGGGGCAACCUGGUGGCGAGUGGCGAACGGGUGAGUAAUACAUCGGAACGUGCCCAGUCGUGGGGGAUAACGUAGCGGAAGUUACGCUAAUACCGCAUACGAUCUAUGGAUGAAAGCGGGGGAUCGCAAGACCUCGCGCGAUUGGAGCGGCCGAUGUCAGAUUAGGUAGUUGGUGGGGUAAAGGCCUACCAAGCCGACGAUCUGUAGCUGGUCUGAGAGGACGACCAGCCACACUGGGACUGAGACACGGCCCAGACUCCUACGGGAGGCAGCAGUGGGGAAUUUUGGACAAUGGGCGCAAGCCUGAUCCAGCCAUUCCGCGUGCAGGAUGAAGGCCUUCGGGUUGUAAACUGCUUUUGUACGGAACGAAAAGGCUCUGGUUAAUACCUGGGGCUCAUGACGGUACCGUAAGAAUAAGCACCGGCUAACUACGUGCCAGCCGCCGCGGUAAUAC
rnacentral:rRNA from 1 species